rnacentral:lncRNA from 1 species
CCCGGCCACAGCCAGUUUCCCAGGCGGUCACACGCAGGGGGCUCUGCAGGCUCCACCCACGUGGGCGCGGAAAAGCCAUUCCUGAAGGGGACUGUGGUGCGCCCAGUGUGGCGCCCGGCUCGCAGCCCGCAAGGGACGGAGCUGGGACUUGCGGAGCAAACAGGGCCCGGAAGGAAGCAGAAUGAGGCCGGCCGCUGUGCCCCAGGGGCCGGGAGGACCGGGCAGGGUGGAGCAGCCGGGGCGGGGCUAGCGCUGGGGACACAGCGGGACUCCGGUGCUGCACCUCGGGUCUCAGUUCUGGUCACCAAGCUUGCCAAGGGCUGACCAUGGGGAGAGUCUUCUUAGACACGGGAACGUUGUGCAGGCAGCUCGGAGACGCCCAGGCGAGCCUGAGAGCCAGCUGGCACUUUAAGAUCACCGCGCGUUGCAAGGCGCUGCGGUGGGAGUGAGCCGGCUUCAGUCCCAGGUGCCCCCAGGCAACACCUGUUCGCCCGUGUGGAGUGGAGACAAGGGCAGGACGAGCCCCCUCUGAGCAGCGCUGCCUGCACUGCCAGGUCCACGAGACCUCCCAGGUGAGGUGCACCCCCGCUUCCCACAGGACACACGGGGCUCCCCCCUCGCAGCCCCGGGCUCUCAGCGCGGUCGGCGGUGAGGCAGAUCUGCUGCUGGCUCCGGCACAGGCAGAGGACAGAGGCCAUCCCCAGCUCAGGCCGCGUGAUGUCGGUGCGAUGUGGAAGCAGCAAGUCCCUGGGGUUUAUGUUCCAAACGGAACUGUGAAGCGGAGACCUCGGGAUGGCCGUGGGAGUACCAGUACCUUGGUCCAGGGAGCCAGCACACAGGCCGGCCCCCAGCUGCUGGGGCAGGGUGGGAGGCGGGAGAAGGCGGGUUCACCUGCCCACGUGCGUCAGUUGCUGAUUGGUGGGAAGCCAACAGCGCAUUGGGCUUUAUCAGGAGCCAUCAGGACCCAGCAGCCACGCCCCGGCCCUGCAACAGACUGUGCGGGAUCUGCGUCCUCACAGCCCUCAUCUGACUGUGCGGGGUCUGCGUCCUCAUCACAGCCCUCAUCUGACUGUGCGGGGUCUGCGUCCUCAUCACAGCCCUCAUCUGACUGUGCGGGGUCUGCGUCCUCAUCACAGCCCUCAUCUGACUGUGCGGGGUCUUGUCCUCACAGCCCUCAUCUGACUGUGCGGGGUCUGCGUCCUCAUCACAGCCCUCAUCUGACGGUGCGGGGUCUGCGUCCUCAUCACAGCCCUCAUCUGACUGUGCGGGGUCUUGUCCUCAUCACAGCCCUCAUCUGACUGGGCGGGGUCUGCGUCCUCAUCACAGCACUCAUCUGACUGUGCGGGGUCUGCGUCCUCACAGCCCUCAUCUGACGGGGGGGGGUCCUCGUCCUCACAGCCCUCAUCUGACUGUGCGGGGGUCUUGUCCUCAUCACAAACCUCAUCUGACGGGGCGGGGGCUUGUCCUCAUCACAACCCUCAUAUGAAGGGGCGGGGGCGCGUCCACACAAACCU